GCUUGAUUAGUGUAGCGGUUAUCACAUUGGAUUCUGAGAUGAAUCGCCAGUCUUCCAAUAACCCAGGUUCGAUUCCUGGAUUGAGCU